AUGCAGUCCACCCAACCUUACACCUCGUGUGGUUCACUGUGCGAGGCGACCAGGAAGAAAGGUAAAGAGACAGACAUAUCACAUCUCAGAAAUGGCUUUACUUCAGUGGCCUUAAAUGGUCCCUCUGUGAUCAUUAUUUUCUUAUUGAAUCGCUGUCAGACACAGCUGGUGGAUUUUUGGACGUGCAGUUUGGAGUUCCUGGCUAAAAUGAACCACAUGAAUACGGAUUACGGAUAUUCUUAUCUCAGCACGCUUUUGAGAUGGAGCAUUCAAAUUACAAGACCUUCAGUCUGCUGUUUUAAUCUGACCCAGAAGGAAAACUUCACUACAGUUCGUUUCCUUGAUUCCCGUGCAAUUUUAUUUUGGAACUGAAGCUCAAUCGGAUUUAAACAACUUUUUUGAAAGUCUGUAAUGAAAGUUGCAUUUUUGCUUACACGUAGCCGCUUUGACCCACGGUGAAUGGAAGUCAUAAAGCAGGGUAUAAAGGGAGUUUCUAAAUUGCCUGUUGUUGAGGCCAUUGAAGGCAACAGGAGAGUCCAGAAUGUGACCUUUGAGAGCAAAUUUGCCUCUGCU
rnacentral:lncRNA from 7 species